GACGAGGGGUCCUAGCGUUGUUCGGAAUCACUGGGCGUAAAGCGUAUGUAGGCGGCUUUUCAAGUCAGAUGUGAAAUCCCUUGGCUCAACCAAGGAACUGCAUUUGAAACUGUAAAGCUUGAGUAUCGGAGAGGGUGGCAGAAUUCCUGGUGUAGUGGUGAAAUACGUAGAUAUCAGGAGGAACACCGGUGGCGAAGGCGGCUACCUGGCCGAAUACUGACGCUGAGAUACGAAAGUGCGGGGAUCAAACAGG
rnacentral:rRNA from 1 species